AAGAGGGGUUACGGUGAGUUCUUCCAGGCAAAGAGGAUUUUGUCUGGAAGUCCUCUUUGAGCAAAGACAUGGAGUCCACAUGAGCAAAGACAUGGAGGAGAAAAACGGCAUGGCACGAAGGGAACUGCAGUCACUAUUCCAGAUUCUGGGAACCAAACACGUACCAAAAAAUCCCUACCAUCAUGAAGCUGAGGUUCUAGUGGGGAACAGAGAAAACACGCAAAACAGCGCAUAAUCGAAGAUAACCAGAUUUCAUGAGGGGAAAAUACACCAUGAAUGGUAACAAGCAGAAAUGGAUCUCAAGGACUCCAGACAUGGAAAUUAUCAGACACUGACUGUAAUAUAAUUAUGCUUCCUAUGUUUAAGGAGAUUAAAAGUCAUGCCUGAAAAUUCUGUAAGGAGACUGGAAACUAUACAAAGUAACUGUGUCAGUCAUGUCUAGUCCUGAAUAUGAUGGCAUAAUCUAGGUGGUUAGAGGGGAGUUUAACUAAGCGAUGCUUUUAUUUUUAUUUUCAUCAUUUUUUGAGACAGGCUCUGGCUCAGUCACCCAGGCUGGAGUGCAGUUGCAUGAUCUUGGCUCACUGCAACCUCUGCCUCCCAGGUUCGAGCCAUUCUCAUGCCUCAGCCCCCCAAGUAGCUGGGAUUACAGGCAUGUGCCACCAGGCCCAGCUAAUUUUUGUAUUUUUAGUAGAGACAGGGUUUCACCAUGUUGGCCAGGCAGGUCUCAAACUCCUGACCUCAAGUGAUCCACCCAUCUUGGCCUCCCAAAGUGCUGGGAUUACAGGCAUGAGCCACUGCACCUGGCCAGAUGCUUUUAACAGAAUGAAAAGAGUAUAGGGAAACUACAAGAGAUACUCUAGAGCUAGUACCCUGGAGUAAGUAACAGUGGAGUGCUAUUACUAUCCCAAGGCCUGAAGGGGAAGGAGAAGAAAUGGUUACUGGAACUAAGAAGAGUGGACCUAGGUGAAGAGUACCACCUGGUAGAAAUUAUGAUGUUCACUGAAGGACACGGUCAACCUGGGUGACCACUCAGGGCAGAAGCUGGGCAAAUACAUACCAAAACUUCAUUCUUCUCCUUCCUUCCAAUCUACUGCAGGUACUCCCCACAGGCUGAAAUCAGCCAGAAGCCAAAAAUAAGGAGCCAUCAAAACAGGUCAAGAAACCUCCCAGCACACAGAAAAGGGUGAAGAAGCAGAGUUAUUCUGGAGGGACAAAUAGAAGGCACCUGGCACAGUGAAGUCACAUAUUUGAAAAAGAACUAAACACAAAUUCCAAAACUGGGAAAUACAAUGAUAAAAUUAAUAAUUCAAUGGUCAGGUUUAAUAGCAGAUUCAAUACAACCAAAGAGAGAAUUAGUAAACUAGAAAACAGGUCAGAAGAAACUAUGUAAAAUUAACAGAGAAUAAAAGCAAGAUGAGAGAAGAGAGAUAACGGGGCAAAGUUAAUAUCCACAAAUAAGUAGUUGGUAAUUUUCCAGGGCAUUGAGAAAACAUCAAUCCACAGAUUCAAUAAGUCCAAUGAACCUCAAGUCUACACUCAUACUCAUUAUAGUGACCCUGCAGAGACAGAGAGGAGUCAGGGAUGAUGGUAAGGAUAACAGGCAAAUGGAAACUAAUGG
rnacentral:lncRNA from 1 species